rnacentral:rRNA from 1 species
AUUGAACGCUAGCGGGAGGCUUUACACAUGCAAGUCGAACGAGUGGCGGACGGGUGAGUAAAAUAUCGGAACGUGCCCAGUUGCGGUGGCUAACUACUCGAAAGAGGGGCUAAUACAGCAUACCCUUGGAGGGGCCGAUAUCGGAUUAGCUAGUUGGUGGGGUAAAGGCGCACCAAGGCAACGAUCCGUAGCUGGUGUGAGAGGACGACCAGCCACACUGGGACUGAGACACGGACCAGACGCCUACGGGAGGCAGCAGGGGGGAAUGUUUGACAAUGGGGGGAACCCUGAUCCAGCCAUCCCGCGUGUAUGAGAAGGCCUUCGGGUUGUAAAGGACUUUUGGCAGAGAAGCGGUAUCUGCAGAAUAAGCACCGGCUAACUCCGUGCCAGCAGCCGCGGUAAUUC